CCCAAACAAGGUAACAGGAAAACCUGGAGACAACAUAAAUGCCUACCAAGGAGAGGAUGGAGAAACCAAUUGCAGCUUAUUCAUGUGAUGGAUACUACCCAGCAUCAACAAAAAAAGUAUUUCCUGUGAAGAUAUAAUAGCCUUGAGUGGAGUUUUUAACCACUGGAAAG